rnacentral:lncRNA from 1 species
AUUUAAGAGCAGGCGCAGACGCAGCCACAGUAGAAGCCGAAGCCCACGUGGUCAUCGCAAUUAUGAUGAGCGUCCACCUGGAGGCCGUGGUUUUGGUAGAAGAGGAGGUGGAGGUGGUGAUCACCGCUACAAUGAUAGAGGGAGGAGACCUAGGAGCAGAAGUCCUGGACGAAGGAGUGGGCACAAACACCACUACAAUGAUAGAGGGAGGAGACCUAGGAGCAGAAGUCCUGGACGAAGGAGUGGACACAACAGAAGUCCCGGGGGUAGGAGAAAUAGAAGUCCUAUUAGGGAAGGAAGUGAGGAGAGAAGAGCAAAGAUUGAGCAAUGGAACAGGGAGAGGGAAGAGGCAGGA